UACGGAGGGUGCAAGCGUUAAUCGGAAUUACUGGGCGUAAAGCGUGCGCAGGCGGUUUGUUAAGUCUGCUGUGAAAUCCCCCGAGCUCAACUUGGGAAUUGCAGUGGAUACUGGCAGGCUGGAGUAUGGUAGAGGAAGGUGGAAUUCCCGGUGUAGCAGUUGAAAUGCGUAGAGAUCGGGAGGAACACCAGCGGCGAAGGCGGCCUCUGGACCAAUACUGACGCUCAUGCACGAAAGCGUGGGGAGCAAACAGG
rnacentral:rRNA from 1 species